UGGGGAAUAUUGCACAAUGGGCGCAAGCCUGAUGCAGCCAUGCCGCGUGUGUGAAGAAGGCCUUCGGGUUGUAAAGCACUUUCAGCGAGGAGGAAGGUGGUGAACUUAAUACGUUCAUCAAUUGACGUUACUCGCAGAAGAAGCACCGGCUAACUCCGUGCCGGCAGCCGCGGUAAUACGGAGGGUGCAAGCGUUAAUCGGAAUUACUGGGCGUAAAGCGCACGCAGGCGGUUUGUUAAGUCAGAUGUGAAAUCCCCGGGCUCAACCUGGGAACUGCAUUUGAAACUGGCAAGCUAGAGUCUCGUAGAGGGGGGUAGAAUUCCAGGUGUAGCGGUGAAAUGCGUAGAGAUCUGGAGGAAUACCGGUGGCGAAGGCGGCCCCCUGGACGAAGACUGACGCUCAGGUGCGAAAGCGUGGGGAGCAAACAGAUUAGAUACCCUGGUAGUCCACGCUGUAAACGAUGUCGAUUUUGGAGGUUGUGCCCCUUGAGGCGUGGNUUCCGGAGCUAACG
rnacentral:rRNA from 1 species